rnacentral:tRNA from 1 species
GGCGAUAUGGCCGAGCGGUCUAAGGCGCCAGAAUCAGGAUCUUGUCCUAUCUGGUCCUCACGGGCGUGGGUUCGAAUCCCACUGUCGUCA